GGAGAGUAAUUUUUCCAGAGUUAACAUUAUUUUCCUCUGAAAGAGUCAUUUUUAUUCAUUUCGGAUUAUAAUUAUUUCCGAUGACCACAAGAAUGGGAGUAAAAAAACAGAGUAAACCUUAUUGGAGUAAUAUUAAGAACACGCCCACUAAUGUUUGUUAAGUUUCGUUUCUGCCGCCAUUUUCUAGUCCCGCAGUGCAAGGUGAGGUGAGUGGCAGUGAGACGGCGGUGAGCCAGGUAAGUCUGCAAAGUACUACAUAUCGAAUUUAAUAGGAUAAAAUGUCAUCAGCAUUUUUUGUUGGCUUAUUUGAAAAGUAAAGCCGGUGAGUUACAUGAUAGCUGGCGAAUUUGUGUGUUAGGGUCAUUUUCUCACGUUGUUCGGUUAGUAAGCACAUGUGUUUUACUCUAAAUUUAAUGGUGUACAUUGACGUGACAUCUUGUGUGUGUUUCAACUACUAUUGGGCUAGCAAGCACGAGGAUGAAUGCUGUUGGAGUGAAGUACAGAGAUCAACAAAAAUACCUCUAUUUUGAGGGCCAAGUUACCUAUGCAUCGUUUUUGGAAAGUGCUUCCAAGAAGUUCAGCAUCCCAACCUUGGACUUAAGAGUCUUUGAUGACACAGACUGAGGUUGAUGAAGAAGUCUUUGAUUUCCUCGUGAAAAAACAAAACCUAGGUGUGCUCGAGAAGGUCCAAAUUCAGAUGAUUGCCUGAGUUCCCCUGCAAGCAGCUCCUUUACCAGCUCCAGUGGGGAUAUUGAUGGGGACUCUGAUGACACUGUAAUAUUGCAGUGCAGUCCUGCCACAAGACGGAGAGCUGAAAACCUCU